CUCCUUCGUGAAUAAAAUCCAAAUGCCCCUUAGCCACCAUUCACUAACCCUAGCCCCCAAACCAAAAUAUUAGCCUCUUCCACGGAUCUGCCGCCACCGUCCAUCGUUGAAGGCGCCUCCGCGGCCUCCUCCUUCCCCCUGUCCCAAACCCAAAUUCCUAGCUCAGCACGUCGUCGUUGCAUUGUCUUCUAGCUUCGUUGUUCGAGGCCUCGAGUUCGAGCUGCUCGCCGUGGUGUCUUGCUCGUCUCGCCAUCGUUGUCUUGCUCUUAGUCAAGUUUUUUCAGUUAAACCACGGUUGGACCAGUGAAUCGGUGACUAGAGCGGUUUGAUGACUGGUGCAGUUCUCAGAACCUUGCUUUCAAUACAUAUCCUCUUUCUUUCUUAACACUCUCAACUUCCCUUCUUUCUCUCUCUUAAAAUUCAAAAACCAAAUCACUCCCCUAGCAACCAGUGCUCAUCUUCAUCAGUGUCACCAUCUUCAUCUUUACCUUCCAUCAACAUCAACACUUUCAUUUAACAA